rnacentral:rRNA from 1 species
UACGUAGGGGGCAAGCGUUGUCCGGAUUUAUUGGGCGUAAAGAGCGUGUAGGCGGCCAGGUAGGUCUGCUGUGAAAACUCGAGGCUUAACCUCGAGCUGUCGGCGGAAACCAUCUGGCUAGAGUCCGGAAGAGGAGAAUGGAAUUCCCGGUGUAGCGGUGAAAUGCGCAGAUAUCGGGAAGAACACCCGUGGCGAAGGCGGUUCACUGGGACGGUACGACGCUGAGGCACGCGAAAGCGUGGGGAGCGAACAGG